GAGCGAUCACACACGCCCCCCUUCGCAGCGCUUCCUGAGAGAACGCGGGGAGGGGAGGGGGGAGCCGCUGGGCCCACUGCAAAACCUAGGGCUCCGAACAGCGCCAAAGGCGUAAGGAAAGGCGGGGAUCAAGAGGCUGGCCCGCUGUCCCCCACCCAGUCCAGCACCCCCAACCCGAAGACUCGACUCUCAGACCACCCAGGGUCCAAGGAGCACAGUAAGGCGCGGCUGCCAAGCCUUCAGACCCCGUCGCAAGAGACUCCAGGGAGCAGGUCUUUCCGGAUGAGUCACUACAGAGCACCCCCCAAAUCCUCCGGUGCCUCUGUGCAAAUCCUCCGGUGCCUCUGCACAGCCCGUGGCUCUAGCCCAACUCCGCGCACCCCUUCCGAUUCCCGGGGGAGAAAAAGAGAAGGGGGGCGAUCGCUCUCUCACUGGGCGCUUCACCUCUACUGACAGAUGCUGGACUGGACCCUCAUUUAAAAACAGGGGUCACUCACUUUCGGUCGAUACUACAAAUAAACAAAGCCAGGCGCACCCCGCGCGCCCCGCCGGAAAGCAGCCCAUUCUGGGCUAGGACAACUUCCCCCAGUCAGAAAAUUAACACAUUCCUCUCGCGGCGGCUCAGCCCCUCGCCCCAGGGAAGCGAAGGGGAGGAGGCCAGGGGCUGAACUUCAGGGGUAAAUUCGGGGCCCGAGCUACAAAGCAGGAACCUGGGACACCCGCCCCCACCCCAGAGAACAUCCCCAUUCUCCCUCCCUGGCUUUGCAUGCCGUUGGCCCACGCGGGAUUCCGGAGGCACCCCGACUCUUGGAGGCUGGGGAGGGAGUUAGAGGCCGCGGGGCGCGGUGAAGGUGGGGGAAGAUACUUGGACGGAAAAAAAAAGGUCAAACUAGAUCAGCCCGCUAGGCACCCCGCGGGUAGCGGGGGCGAGAAGCCGGAGGGGAAAUGCAGAAGUGGCCGCCUCCUCCAGCAAGUGGAGGAGGUUCGGCCACGCGCGGUCGAGGGCACUCGGAGCAGCUGUUGUCGCCCCAAAUACAAGGAAAUGAGUGGGGUCUGGUGCGGGGAGCGCGCACCAGCGAUCUCCAAGCAGCCGCCCCUGCAGGCAGACGCCCGCCGACACCGAGAGUGAUCUGCGACCGAGCAUACUGCGGCUUGGGUAUAACAGCGGCCACCUAACGAUCACCGGCGCUAGGUCUCCCAGCUUCCGGGGCUCCGCGGCUCAGGCUGCGGGCGGCCUCCGCCCCUCCCAAACUCAG
rnacentral:lncRNA from 1 species